UAUUGUCGAAGGAGAAGAAGAAGAAGAAGAAGAGGAAUAAGAAGAAGACUAUUGAGUUUAGCUAUACACAAUAGAUAUGUACAGCAUAUAGCGUUUAAAAUUUACUUGCACAUUUUACUGUCAACUUACACGUCAACUAGGUAUGUUGCAUUAUGAUUAUGUAUUUAGUUACACCUAUGAGAACACAACGGUGGAGCGACGGCUCGCACGUUGGCUCGCUGCAUCCCUAUUUAUUACUUUCUAUCGAUUA